rnacentral:rRNA from 1 species
UACGUAGGGGGCAAGCGUUGUCCGGAAUCAUUGGGCGUAAAGCGCGUGUAGGCGGUCCGGUAAGUCGGUUGUGAAAGUCCAGGGCUCAACCCUGGGAUGCCGACCGAUACUGUCGGACUAGAGUUCGGAAGAGGCGAGUGGAAUUCCCGGUGUAGCGGUGAAAUGCGCAGAUAUCGGGAGGAACACCAAUGGCGAAGGCAGCUCGCUGGGACGUUACUGACGCUGAGACGCGAAAGCGUGGGGAGCGAACAGG